GCAACGCGAAGAACCUUACCAAGGCUUGACAUACACCGGAAACGGCCAGAGAUGGUCGCCCCCUUGUGGUCGGUGUACAGGUGGUGCAUGGUUGUCGUCAGCUCGUGUCGUGAGAUGUUGGGUUAAGUCCCGCAACGAGCGCAACCCUCGUUCUAUGUUGCCAGCGCGUUAUGGCGGGGACUCAUAGGAGACUGCCGGGGUCAACUCGGAGGAAGGUGGGGAUGACGUCAAAUCAUCAUGCCCCUUAUGUCUUGGGCUUCACGCAUGCUACAAUGGCCGGUACAAAGGGCUGCGAUACCGUAAGGUGGAGCGAAUCCCAAAAAGCCGGUCUCAGUUCGGAUUGAGGUCUGCAACUCGACCUCAUGAAGUCGGAGCCGCUAGUAAUCGCAGAUCAGCAACGCUGCGGUGAAUACGUUCCCGGGCCUUGUACACACCGCCCGUCAAGUCAUGAAAGUCGGUAACACCCGAAGCCGGUGGCCUAACCCUUGUGGAAGGAGCCGUCGAAGGUGGGA
rnacentral:rRNA from 1 species